UCCCUGGUAGUAUAUCGGUUAGUACACGCGCCUGUCAUGUUAAUGGAGGCGAUUAGUGAUUUAUCGCGCGAAAGCUGGGUUCGACUCCCAGCCAGGGAG